UGGGGAAUUUUGGACAAUGGGCGCAAGCCUGAUCCAGCCAUGCCGCGUGUCUGAAGAAGGCCUUCGGGUUGUAAAGGACUUUUGUCAGGGAAGAAAAGGACAGGGUUAAUACCUCUGUUUGAUGACGGUACCUGAAGAAUAAGCACCGGCUAACUACGUGCCAGCAGCCGCGGUAAUACGUAGGGUGCGAGCGUUAAUCGGAAUUACUGGGCGUAAAGCGAGCGCAGACGGUUACUUAAGCAGGAUGUGAAAUCCCCGGGCUCAACCUGGGAACUGCGUUCUGAACUGGGUGACUAGAGUGUGUCAGAGGGAGGUAGAAUUCCACGUGUAGCAGUGAAAUGCGUAGAGAUGUGGAGGAAUACCGAUGGCGAAGGCAGCCUCCUGGGAUAACACUGACGUUCAUGCUCGAAAGCGUGGGUAGCAAACAGGAUUAGAUACCCUGGUAGUCCACGCCCUAAACGAUGUCAAUUAGCUGUUGGGCAACUUGAUUGCUUAGUAGCGUAGCUAACGCGUGAAAUUGACCGCCUGGGGAGUAACGGUCGCAAGAUUA
rnacentral:rRNA from 1 species